CACAUGCAAGUCGAGCGGAAAGGCUCCUUUCCGGGGGUACUCGAGCGGCGAACGGGUGAGUAACACGUGAGUAAUCUGCCCUCUACUCUGGGAUAACUGCUGAAAGGGUGGCUAAUACCGGAUGUUCACUGUCUCCUGCAUGGGGGGUGGUGGAAAGCUUUUGUGGUGGGGGAUGUGCUCGCGGCCUAUCAGCUUGUUGGUGGGGUAAUGGCCUACCAAGGCUUUGACGGGUAGCCGGCCUGAGAGGGUGACCGGCCACACUGGGACUGAGACACGGCCCAGACUCCUACGGGAGGCAGCAGUGGGGAAUAUUGGACAAUGGGCGGAAGCCUGAUCCANUAACGCCGCGUGAGGGAUGACGGCCUUCGGGUUGUAAACCUCUUUCAGCACAGACGAAGCUUGUUCCACGUGUGGGGUG
rnacentral:rRNA from 1 species